rnacentral:misc_RNA from 1 species
GUGAAUCAUCAAAUUUUUGAACGCAAAUUGCGCUUCCUGGCAUUCUGGGAAGUAUGCCUGUUUGAGGGUCAGUAUUAACAAAAAAUCGGUUUGGUUGCAAAUUGUGACGUUUCCGGAGUUCGGGCUAUCUAAACUUUUUUGGUUAAGGGGUUUAAAAUUGACCUUUUUUGCGCAUUUUUAGACGUACAUAAAUUUUUUUUUAUUGGUUUGUUUUUAAUGCUAAAAUCUUAUUAGAGGGG